AAAACUUUCAACAACGGAUCUCUUGGUUCCGGCAUCGAUGAAGAACGCAGCGAAAUGCGAUAAGUAAUGUGAAUUGCGGAAUUCAGUGAAUCAUCGAAUCUUUGAACGCACAUUGCGCCCCUUGGCCAUUCCUUGGGGCAUGCCUGUCCGAGCGUCAUUG
rnacentral:rRNA from 3 species